ensembl:rRNA 5S_rRNA 5S ribosomal RNA
AGUCUAUGCCAUACCACCCUGAACACACCCAACCCCAUCUGAUCUCGGAAGUUACAUAGGGUUGGUCCUGGUUAGUACUUGGAUGGGAGAUAUACUUCUAAAGAAAGAAGAAACUC